rnacentral:rRNA from 1 species
AUCUCUUCGGAGCAUUUUACGUAGGUGCUGCAUGGUUGUCGUCAGCUCGUGCCGUGAGGUGUCGGGUUAAGUCCCAUAACGAGCGCAACCCCUACCUUUAGUUGCCAUCAGGUUAAGCUGGGGACUCUAAAGGAACUGCCUACGCAAGUAGUGAGGAAGGCGGGGAUGACGUCAAAUCAGCACGGCCCUUACGUCCAGGGCUACACACGUGCUACAAUGGCCGAUACAGAGGGCAGCUACCUGGUGACAGGAUGCAAAUCUCCAAAGUCGGUCUCAGUUCGGAUCGGAGUCUGCAACCCGACUCCGUGAGGUUGGAUUCGCUAGUAAUCGCGCAUCAGCCAUGGCGCGGUGAAUACGUUCCCGGGCCUU